UUGACGUAGCCCAGAACGAACCGUUUCUAAGGAAGUGGAUCCUUGGGAGAAGGCAGUUUUGGCAUCGGGAGCAAAGACUACUCCAUCGGGGAUUCUUUUUCUGUACUGAGGAGGACGGUUGUGAAAUUCGUGUAAGACGAGGGUCAUGAUUUUGUGCUACAGAUCUGAUAGGUUUUUUUGGGAUCAGGAUUUCUAUUGUGGUAUGUAAAGAUUUUCGUGGUAUCUAAAAACACUGGAGUGAACUACGCUUGAGAAACAGACGUCAAAAAUUGAAGCAUUGAAGCAAAAAGUUACUCUCGUGCUACAAUGAAAUUUAUAUCCUAGUUUGGAGCAAUGGAACAAAGGAAAUUUGACUGGAAUAGUUGAACAGAGCAAACUAAAACAGUGUUUCUCAAAAACUCCUCCAGUGUUCGUUGCUUCUACCCCAAAGCAGUUAGGAGGUGAGAAAGGAAGCCAUUGGUACUGAUCCAUUUUACUUCAUGGUUGAAAGAUGUCCUGCCCUGAUUAGAUGGUUCGAAGGUGUAAUUGGCUAUUUCACACUUAAAAUUAAUGGUGCUCUGUAAUGCCAUGUAAUUAUGAACUUUAUUGCUUUCACUGAUAGCAGUGACAAACUGUCUAGAUGAAAUUUCCCAAUUAAAUAGAAACUAUUUUCAAAGUUGCUUGCUUUGAGUGGUUGUUUAUGAAGUCGAACAUUAAGUCUUGGAAUACUUUGCUUAUGUUAAACUUAAAAAACUGCUGUAAAUCCUUUGGCAAUAUUAUUUGAUGGAUAUA